ACGCUCGACACCUACGGGAGGCAGCAGUUGGGAAUAUUGGACAAUGGAGGAAACUCUGAUCCAGUGACGCCGCGUGAAGGAAGAAGGUCUUCGGAUUGUAAACUUAUUUUGUCAGGGAAGAAAAAAUGACUGUACCUGAAGAAAAAGCACCGGCUAACUACGUGCCAACAGCCGNGGUAAUCUGAGCGGGCUGGCAAGGC
rnacentral:rRNA from 1 species